GACAGAGGUGCCGAGCGUUAGGCGGAAUCACUGGGCUUAAAGCGUGUGUAGGCGGACUUCUAAGUACCUUGUGAAAUCCCCACGGCUCAACCGUGGAACUGCUCGGUAUACUGGUUGUCUUGAGCCACUUAGGGGCAGUCGGAACAGACGGUGGAGCGGUGGAAAUGCGUAGAUAUCGUAAGGAAGACCAGUGGCGAAGGCGGGUUGCUGGGCUGACACUGACGCUGAUGCGCGGAAAGCCAGGGGAGCGAACCGGGAAU
rnacentral:rRNA from 1 species